AUUGAACGCUGGCGGCAGGCUUAACACAUGCAAGUCGAGCGGAGAUGAGGUGCUUGCACCUUAUCUUAGCGGCGGACGGGUGAGUAAUGCUUAGGAAUCUGCCUAUUAGUGGGGGACAACAUUCCGAAAGGAAUGCUAAUACCGCAUACGUCCUACGGGAGAAAGCAGGGGAUCUUCGGACCUUGCGCUAAUAGAUGAGCCUAAGUGGGAUUAGCUAGUUGGUGGGGUAAAGGCCUACCAAGGCGACGAUCUGUAGCGGGUCUGAGAGGAUGAUCCGCCCCACUGGGUCUGAGACACGGCCCAGACUCCUACGGGAGGCAGCAGUGGGGAAUAUUGGACAAUGGGGGGAACCCUGAUCCAGCCAUGCCGCGUGUGUGAAGAAGGCCUUAUGGUUGUAAAGCACUUUAAGCGAGGAGGAGGCUACUGAGACUAAUACUCUUGGAUAGUGGACGUUACUCGCAGAAUAAGCACCGGCUAACUCUGUGCCAGCAGCCGCGGUAAUAC
rnacentral:rRNA from 1 species